UACAGAGGGUGCAAGCGUUGUUCGGAAUUAUUGGGCGUAAAGGGCGCGUAGGCGGUGCGGUAAGUCUGUAGUGAAAUCUCUGGGCUCAACUCAGAGUCUGCUGCAGAAACUGCCGUGCUUGAGUGUGGGAGAGGUGAGUGGAAUUCCCGGUGUAGCGGUGAAAUGCGUAGAUAUUAGGAAGAACACCAGUGGCGAAGGCGGCUCACUGGUCCGGUACUGACGCUGAGGUGCGAAAGCGUGGGAGCAAACAGG
rnacentral:rRNA from 1 species